CCUACGGGAGGCAGCAGUGAGGAAUAUUGGUCAAUGGCCGCAGGGCUGAACCAGCCAAGUCGCGUGAGGGAUGACGGUCCUAUGGAUUGUAAACCUCUUUUGUCAGGGAGCAAAGGGCGGCACGUGUGCCGUUUUGUGAGUACCUUAAGAAAAAGCAUCGGCUAACUCCGUGCCAGCAGCCGCGGUAAUACGGAGGAUUCGAGCGUUAUCCGGAUUUAUUGGGUUUAAAGGGUGCGGAGAGGGGAUGUUAAGUCAGUUGGUAAAGUUUGCGGCUUAACCCCAACAUUGCCAUUGAGACUGGCGGUCUUGAGUACACUUGAGGUAUGCGGAAUGCGUGGUGUAGCGGUGAAAUGCUUAGAUAUCACGAAGAACUCCGAUUGCGAAGGCAGCAUACUGG
rnacentral:rRNA from 1 species